rnacentral:rRNA from 1 species
UACGUAGGGUGCGAGCGUUGUCCGGAAUUAUUGGGCGUAAAGAGCUUGUAGGCGGUCUGUCGCGUCUGCUGUGAAAAUCCGGGGCUCAACCCCGGACUUGCAGUGGGGUACGGGCAGACUAGAGUGUGGUAGGGGGAGACUGGAAUUCCUGGUGUAGCGGUGAAAUGCGCAGAUAUCAGGAGGAACACCGAUGGCGAAGGCAGGUCUCUGGG